rnacentral:tRNA from 1 species
GGGGAUGUAGCUCAGUUGGGAGAGCACUGCCCUUGCACGGCAGGUGUCGACGGUUCGAGUCCGUUCAUCUCCACCA